UUUCCGUAGGUGAACCUGCGGAAGGAUCAUUACAGUAGGCGCCCGGGUUGCCGCAAGGCCUCCCGGGUAACCUACCACCCUUUGUUUAUUACACUUUGUUGCUUUGGCAGGCCUGCCCUCGGGCUGCUGGCUCCGGCCGGCGAGCGCUUGCCAGAGGACCUAAACUCUGUUUGUCUAUACUGUCUGAGUACUAUAUAAUAGUUAAAACUUUCAACAACGGAUCUCUUGGUUCUG
rnacentral:misc_RNA from 1 species